CGGACCUCAUAAAGUGCGUCGUAGUCCGGAUUGGAGUCUGCAACUCGACUCCAUGAAGUCGGAAUCGCUAGUAAUCGUGGAUCAGAAUGCCACGGUGAAUACGUUCCCGGGCCUUGUACACACCGCCCGUCACACCAUGGGAGUGGGUUGCAAAAGAAGUAGGUAGCUUAACCUUCGGGAGGGCGCUUACCACUUUGUGAUUCAUGACUGGGGUGAAGUCGUAACAAGGUAACCGUAGGGGAACCUGCGGUUGGAUCACCUCCUUACCUUAAAGAAGC
rnacentral:rRNA from 2 species